CCUGGAUUGGGGGAUAGCUGGGCGGUGACUGUCUGUCUUUUCCCUAGUUUGUCAUUCUUAUGGAUGAUUUGAAACUCUCUUGGAUACAACUCAUUCUGGAGUGUGCUUCUCUGUCUCUUCGUGGGGGUGGUGGUCUCAGAGCCUCUUCGGAGGGUACCGAGCUCACCGGUGUGCCUCGGAAGUGGAGCGAUCUCCUGGUGUUGGUGGUGCCUCCAGAAGUAAAUCUGGUCCGCGGAAGGCUCAUUUUUCUGGAGCGGCUAGAUGAAAGCAGAGGAAGGCUAGAAGGUAGGUUGCUGGUACCGGUGGUAUUUUGCUACCAGGUGGCUCCUCUCAAUUAGUUUUUCUGUCUAGAUCAUCUGCUGUUACUUUUGGUGACAGCAGGGGUUCCAGAUCUGUGGUGUCUAUUCCAUCAUUUGAGGAGACGGGGCCUUCGAGGGGAUCUUGGCACUUUCAGCCUGGGACUUGUUCGGAGGCUGCGGCUUCUCUUCAGUUGGUCUCAUCAAGGAGGGUUAUCCGGACUUCAAGAUGAUGGCUGCUGAAGUGGAUCUUGUUUUAUGAAAAAUCCUGAGUGGCGUCGAUAGGACCUUUCUAGAGAGACUUUGCCGCUGCUCGGGGGCUAUUCCUUAAAUAAUAGUGCACUUGUUUAUACGUGUAUGAAUCAGUUCAUCAGUCAGUGGCUCAUUCAGCUUUUGGAUGGGUGUAUGCUUGGGCAGGGGGUCCGUUUAAGGGUUAUCCCUGCGAUGAACCUGUCCAAGCCCGUGAAGGUGGCUUAUCGUACUGCGGAU
rnacentral:lncRNA from 1 species